rnacentral:rRNA from 1 species
CACAAGCGGUGGAUGAUGUGGUUUAAUUCGAUGCAACGCGAAAACCUUACCACCUUUGACAUGGCAGGAAUCCCGAAGAGAUUUGGGAGUGCUCGAAAGAGAACCUGCACACAGGUGCUGCAUGGCUGUCGUCAGCUCGUGUCGUGAGAUGUUGGGUUAAGUCCCGCAACGAGCGCAACCCUUGCCAUUAGUUGCUACGAAAGGGCACUCUAAUGGGACUGCCGGUGACAAACCGGAGGAAGGUGGGGAUGACGUCAAGUCCUCAUGGCCCUUAUAGGUGGGGCUACACACGUCAUACAAUGGCCGGUACAGAGGGUAGCCAACCCGCAGGGGGAGCCAAUCCCACAAAGCCGGUCGUAGUCCGGAUCGCAGUCUGCAACUCGACUGCGUGAAGUCGGAAUCGCUAGUAAUCGUGGAUCAGCAUGUCACGGUGAAUACGUUCCCGGGUCUU